GACGAACGCUGGCGGCGUGCUUAACACAUGCAAGUCGAACGGAAAGGCCCUGCUUUUGUGGGGUGCUCGAGUGGCGAACGGGUGAGUAACACGUGAGUAACCUGCCCUUGACUUUGGGAUAACUUCAGGAAACUGGGGCUAAUACCGGAUAGGAGCUCCUGCUGCAUGGUGGGGGUUGGAAAGUUUCGGCGGUUGGGGAUGGACUCGCGGCUUAUCAGCUUGUUGGUGGGGUAGUGGCUUACCAAGGCUUUGACGGGUAGCCGGCCUGAGAGGGUGACCGGCCACAUGGGGACUGAGAUACGGCGCAGACUCCUACGGGAGGCAGCAGUGGGGAAUAUUGCACAAUGGGCGGAAGCCUGAUGCAGAAACGCCGCGUGCGGGAUGACGGCCUUCGGGUUGUAAACCGCUUUCGAAUGUGACGAAGAGUGAGUGACGGUAAUGGGUAAAGAAGCACCGGCUAACUACGUG
rnacentral:rRNA from 1 species